CGACUCAGACAAAUGAUCGCAGCUGCAAAGCCGAAAGGCUGCAGGUGAGGAAAGUCCGGGCUUCAUAGGGCAGGGUGCCGGAUAACGUCCGGUGGAGGCGACUCCCAGGCUAGUGCAACAGAAAUAUACCGCUUCCUUUGGAAGUAAGGGUGGAAAGGCGAGGUAAGAGCUCACCGCUGUCCUGGUAACAGGGCAGGCUCUGUAAACCCCACUCGAAGCAAGACCGAAUAGAGAGCUAUGUGGCUGCCCGUCACGUUCUCGGGUAGGUCGCUUGAACCUGUUGGCAACAGCAGGUCUAGAUAGAUGAUCAUUCAACGACAUAACCCGGCUUAUCGUCUGAGUCAGAUU
rnacentral:RNase_P_RNA from 1 species